GACGAACGCUGGCGGCGUGCUUAACACAUGCAAGUCGAGCGGUAAGGCCCUUUCGGGGGUACGACGAGCGGCGAACGGGUGAGUAACACGUGGGUGACCUGCCCUCAGCUCUGGGAUAAGCCUGGGAAACCGGGUCUAAUACUGGAUAUGACUCCAUGACGCAUGUUGUGGGGUGGAAAGCCUUGUGCGGCUGAGGAUGGGCCCGCGGCCUAUCAGCUUGUUGGUGGGGUGAGGCCUACCAAGGCGACGACGGGUAGCCGGCCUGAGAGGGCGACCGGCCACACUGGGACUGAGACACGGCCCAGACUCCUACGGGAGGCAGCA
rnacentral:rRNA from 1 species